rnacentral:rRNA from 1 species
GUGGGCCCUCGAAAUCCUUUUGCGGAGGGAUUCAGUCKGGAGCCGGCGGAGCGGUCGGACGGCGGACCCCUCGAAGAAGGACGCGCGUUCGACCGAGCGACUUUCGUCGGCGCCCGACGCANUUUCCCCCCGCACCGAGGACGCCGCGACCGAUCGGGAGUCGGCCUUGUGGCGAUUCCAGGAGGUGACCGAGGAACGGAGGUGUCAGAUCCACCGUCCCCGGUUUUUAACGGAGUCGCGUCUUCGACGCGACGCCCGAUCGAGGUCGAUCAGCGUUCCCCGUAGGGGAGCGCGGCAGUCUCCUACUCUUCGGAGAGCGGAGCACCGGGCCAGCUCUCGCCGCCGCAAUCGAAUCCACUCCCCGUAGUGGCCGGUUCGGCGUAGCGAUUGCGGUGGGUCCGGGUGACCGCGGAGAGAAGCAGACUGGUCGGCGGCGAGUAGGUCGGUCACCCACCCGACCCGUCUUGAAACACGGACCAAGGAGUCUAACAUGUGCGCGAGUCGCAGGGUCUUGAUCAGGCCCUCGGGCGCAAUGAAAGUGAAGGCCGUUCUCAGGAGCGCGCCGUGUUGGGACUCUCGCCACGGGCGCGAGAAGCACCAACGACCCGUCCCGUCCGAUCCGUCGGUGGGGCGGAGUCGGAGCGUACACGUUGGGACCCGAAAGAUGGUGAACUAUGCCUGGGCAGAACGAAGCCAGAGGAAACUCUGGUGGAGGUUCGUAGCGGUUCUGACGUGCAAAUCGAUCGUCAGA